UCCCGAAGCAACACUUAUCCUUGCUACAUCUGAUGCACAGUGAUAUUUUCAUCUCACUUUUUGUUUUUAUUUUGUAAAUGUUAGCUGUGACCCAUUAAAUUGAUUUUAUAAGCCACUGAUGGGUCACAACCCACAGCUGCUGUGGAAAGGUCACCAGGGACUCGAGCAGGCCAGGCCUGCUUUUCCAGAGCGGGAUGGGACGGGCCCCACUGUGUCUGCCUCUGCCCUCGCUUCCCUCUCUGCCUGGGGCCCCAACCAGCUGAGUCCAAGGGGUCUGAAUGCUCACACCAAGCCUGAGACCGAACAUCCCUUUCCUGUCUCAGCUCCGCCUGGGCCCCUGUCUGGCUCUGGCGUCCACUUCCUCCCCUGGAGAGAUCCGUGGACUCACCGAGGUAAGUGUCUGCUACAGCAUGUGGGUGAGAAGUCCCUGGUGCCUGAGCAGAAAGGAGCAAGAGGGCACAUCAACAGGGAAGCUCGGCUGAUUCUGCGGGCAAGCCUGUCGGGCUUUGUGACUAUGUGAGCCAGUGGUUGCUAGGUUACCCCUUCCCCACAACUCCAGAACCAAGCUCCCCAGCGCCCCUCUCCUCACCACCCCAGCUCCUCUUACCCCUCCAAGUUCCCUUUCCUCCUGGCACUGUGUUUUCAGUGGGGGCCCAGGGAGACGAUGAGAGUCUGGGGUUGCUUUCAGCCAGCAAGCAGCAGAGAGGGUUGAUGGAGCUGGGGCCCUGCUCUGCCAGCCCGACCCGGUCUGAUGCCACCAUAGCGGGCUCUGCCUCCACACGUGCCGGGCGGUUUCUGGGGAUUGACUGGCAACCAGCUGUCUCUUAGCCGGAGGGAAGGAGGCCGCCCAAGUGACCCAGAGCAUCCCUCCAGCCCCGCUCUAGGCAGGAUAGCUGGGUGGAAAGACUGGUCUUCAGUUGGGCUGGGGUUUUGACUGAUUCUGUCAGACGUCCCACUUCUGUGUGAUGAGAGCGGGAAUUAACAAACCGGGGUGAUUCAGCAAGAUACAUCGUGGUCACAAGAUGAAUUAUGGAAAUUGCAACAAGAGAAAACGACAUGGUCCCUCAGCGUUUUUGAGCCCCUUUUGUCCGGAAUUCAUGCUGUUUCCUGUUACUAACGGAGAAUAAAGAGUGAUCUGUAUGUUG